UACGGAGGGGGCCAGCGUUGUUCGGAAUUACUGGGCGUAAAGCGCACGUAGGCGGCUCGAUGAGUCUCCCUGUGAAAGCCCGGGGCUCAACCCCGGGAGGCCAGGGGAUACUGUCGGGCUGGAGACAAGAAGAGGUUGGUAGAAUUCCGGGUGUAGCGGUGGAAUGCGUAGAGAUCCGGAGGAAUACCAGAGGCGAAGGCGGCCAACUGGGCUUGUUCUGACGCUGAGGUGCGAAAGCGUGGGGAGCGAACAGG
rnacentral:misc_RNA from 1 species